GAUCACCUUUAUGUACCAUCAUCAUUAUCCUCAUCAUUUUGUGAUAAUUAAUAGCAAUAAAUAAUAUGAAUGAUAAUAACGACAACAUUAAAUUCACUUUUUCAACAACUGGAAAUCAAAAGAAAUUGAUAAAAACCCGAGACGUAGGAACUUAUGGGUAUAUCGAAAAAAUAUAAAAAGUUUGAAUUUCGAAAAUUAUUUCUAAAAAUAAUGACGAGCUGACUGAGCGUGAUAAAGCUGCUUUAUUACCUGCAAUACUACAAUCAGCAGGAAAACAUGGAAAGGAAAAAAACAUUUUAAUUGUAAUUUCAGACGGAAACCAAACACAUCAGAUAAAUGAAAUGGAAAAUUUGUUCAUAGGAAGUUAUGCGUACGUAACAAGUGCAGACCGGAAUCGACUCAAGUUUAUCUCAGAAAAAAAUGUAUUUCACAUAAUAUUUUUUUGUUUAUAAUAAUACGUUGAUCAUACUCGCCACGGAAGAUUUAAUUACAAGCUUUCUUGUAAUUAAUUUAUUCAAUAAAUUAAAAUUCUUUUGGCAAGUUUAGCUAAGGAAUGAAUGUAAUC